AGGUAGUAUAUGCAUAUAUGACCAGGUGAUGGACAUUGGUUGAUAAAAUUACACCAAAAACUGAGGUGUGACUGGUUUCUGACUGUGCUGCAAUACAGAGUGUCCUCCGCUCUCCAGCUGAGCCCAAGAUGCUGCCAAUACAGGUCCAAAAAGAUGGUUUUUAUUCUUCAGAACAAUGGACAGGAAGGAUGGAACCAAUGUAGAGGUACACAGCACUGCUGAGAAGGUGAUCUUCCAGCAAAAUAAAUAAAAGG